rnacentral:lncRNA from 1 species
UAGCAUAAGGAAAUCCGAAAGAGAUAAAUAUUUAUAUUUUUAUCAAAAAUAAAUAUAUAAGACAUACAUAUGGAGAACAAAAACACGAAUAUAUAUAUAGGAAAAGAUGCAUAUUAAAACAGAAAAUUAAAAUAAAAGUGUUUGCAUACUUUUUGGUAGAAUUAUAAUGAUGGAGUUCUAGUCCCUAAACUAAUCUGUCUAAGCUAAUCAAUUCCUCUCGUUUUUUUUAAAAUGGAUUUUCACAUUUUAUAAAUUUUAUUUCAAGUAAAAGUAUUCUUAUUACAUCCUGUUUUAGACAAUAAUAAAGUUACAUGAAUCAAUAGUAAAUAAAUAAUAAGAAGAUGAGCAAUUGAUGUGAUCCACAUUCAAAAUGUGUUAGAAACUUGAAACAUCAUCCUAUAUUCGUGACCAACUUAUCUUUCAAUUCUGUCUUGUCUAUGAGAUGUUGAAACAUGAAAAAUUAAAAGCCGGUCAAUUUUUACGAAAAAUUGAUUCUUCGAUCUCCUCAUAUGUUUGGCAAAAUCCAAAAAUAUUUAUUUGAUUUACUUCUCAUGGCAUCCAAAUAUUCACUUUUUUUCACUAGAGAAAUUGAAACACGAAAAUUAGAAUAAAUUGAAAUCUGAAAAUUAGAUUACUAUGGAGGGAUAGAAAACUAAAAGCAACCAAGGAAAACAAUUAUAUGAGAAUAAAAAAUAAAUAUAAAAUGAUGCACGUUAAAAGGGAAAAGAUUGAAAGCAAAGAAGACAAGCAAAAAGAAAAAGAAAAGUGAAAACAAUUAGUUACCUCUUCCAUAUUGAAAUGUUCAACAAUGUUAAGUAGAGUUUAUAUAUUUCAAUGUCCAUUAAAUACAAAAUUGUAACUUACGGAAAUAGAGAGGAAAGGAUAAUUAAGAAAAUUUAAUUAGAGGAUGAAUAACGAGUAGAAAUGGUACCAAGAGAAAAUGAAAGGUCUUAGGGUAGUAAAUGAGUAAUAAUUGAUAUAACUAAUAACUAAAGAAAUAAUGUAGGUAAAUUUAAGUUUCUACUAUUUUUAGAUGGAAAAUAAGAAAAAAAUUCAAAAAAUUGAGAGAAAAGAAAGAUGUGAAUUUGGUCUAGGAAAGCGCCACGUCAGCAGCCUCUAAUGCUUCUUAUAUAUAUAUAUAUAUAUAUAUAUAUAUAUAUAUAUAUAUAUAAUCUAUAAUAUAUUAAAAGUGAGAAGACCCUUAGAAAAGUGAUUAGAAUUUUUUGUCCUCUAUUAAAAUACUCUCUUUAGACAAAAUCAUCUUUUUACCUUUUUCAUUAUUUUUAUGAUAUUAAAUAUUGAUAAUAAUAAAUAUGUUAUAAAUUAAAUGGAGCCCCCCACAAAAAAAAAGGCAAAAAACAAAAAGCAAAGAACCUACACAAAAUUUUGGCAAAAAAAAACCUCUUUUAACCUACAUAAAAUUUUGGCAAAAAUCCUCUUUUAACUAAAAUACAUUUGGUCCAAAAAUAAAAAAUAGGCAAAAAUAAUGGUUAAGUCCAAAUCAAAUUAAACCCUGAUAACUGUUUUGUUAAAUCCUUGCAUAGUCUAUUUAAUAAGAACUUUAACAAGCAAACAUACAAACUCUAAUAUGAUUAUUGGUCUAGAUAAUCUCUAGCUUUAGGGACUUACAUACUUUAGAGAAUUUCUAUCAUUUCUUUGUGUUUGUGCUGAAGUUGCUUACAGUUUUUUGAAUUGAUUAAAUGUUAUAUUAAUUUACUUGAUCAAGUUUUGAUUCUGCCCCUGAUUUUUCUUUCUUAUUUAUAUAUUCAGGUCUUUGUUCAUUCAUAAUAAUUUCAGGUAUUUAUUCAAAAAUUUUAGGACAUAAAAUAAAUAUAUGAAAGGAGUUAGUCGCAUAUAUUUACAUGUCCAUAGAAAUUUUAAUUGAUAGAAUUUUUUCGCCUUUUAACGUUGUUGUCCUAAUAAUUUGGACUUUCAAAUUGUUAUGAUUAUUUACGUAGGAUGUAUAUAGAUUUUAGAGGUGGUGACUGGAGUUCCUUAUUCAGAGAAGUUGGAUCACACACGCUGGAACACAUACGUUAUCGUUCAAAGUGAAAAACUUGCCGAAAAGUUUUGAUUGAAGAGAGAAAGGUGUGGUUACUACGGUGACGAUGCAAGUGAGAAUUGUACUGUCAGAAUUACUCUAAUUUUUGCAUGGCUAUAAAGUUAUACAAUAUAUCGUGAAACUAUCUGCUUAAUUAAUGAAUUCUAGAUUUCACAUUAAUGGAACCUUAUAAUGAGUUUUUAAUAAGUCAAUGAAAAGUCAAAGAAGUGCUCUAUGUAAGAUCCCGUUUCACCUAAUUCUGAUGCGUUUGACAAUGUGGUAAGUAUCUCUCCUAACGGCCUUCACUAAAUUGUCGAAGUUGAUAACGUUAUUGUGCAUGUAUUAAAGUUUUAAAUUAGAUUUGACUCUCUAACGAAACACAACCAUUUGUAUGCAUGCUUGGUUGUAUAUAGGUUGAAGCACAUGACACUUGAAAUAGUAUGCUUAUUAGCUUUUUCGACUUUCUUAUAGUCGUUUCGGAGAUUAAGUAGCUCUCAAUUUCUGCUUUUCUUGUGAAAUAAUUUAAUCCAACGGAUGAUAAAUGAGUCAAAUUUACUAUCUGUAGAUUAAAAUUGGUGAUUUUAUAUUUUUUAAUGUACCAUAAAAUUCUCAAAGUUGAAUUUAUACUAUAUUCAAUUUUUUUGAAUGUAAAUAUGUUACCAUGAUUAUAACCUCAACUUAUAAGAUGCUGUUGUUUUAUUCCUUUUUUUUGCUUUAGAAAAUUUUCAAGACACGAUGCAAUUGGUAAGAAAAAUUGCCGGAACAAAUAUACUUAGGGCGGAUCUACAAUGUUAGGCGGAAACCCCCCCACAUUGUUGUAAAUUCGAUAAAUAUAUUUAAAAUAGAACAAGUCAAUAAAAUAUUAUAGAUGAAAAUCCAUAAACAAAAACAGCGUUGGCUUGAUGGCAUGGAAUAGACUUUUAAAAUGCUUAGUUCCAUGGCCAUGAGAUUGAUGGCAUGGAAUGGACUCUUAAAAUGCUUAGUUCCAUGGCCAUGGGAUUGAUCCUUACUCGGUGUUAUCUUUUUUAUUAUAUUAUUAUAUAUUACUUUAUUUUAUCGGGAACCCACAAGUUUGAAAUCCUAGAUCCGCCUCGGAAUAGACUUACAAAAUUUAAUAGCUAACUCAAGGCAACUACAUCUCUUUUCAACAAGUGAAGAAGAUAGACUAUCCAUUAUAAGAUGUACAAAAAAAUCAAUUCCAUGAAUAAAAAGACGUCUAAAAUUGGCAGGAACUACAGAUAAUCAAUUAUUGAGAAACAAUUGUUCUUUUUUCCAACAAAAAAUACAUUGCAAAUUAUCCUACAUAUUUGUGUUUUUGCAGGAACUUCCAUCUCUCUUAAACUGCUACUAAAUUUCCUCUUUUUGAUAAUAUUAAAUUGGAUCGGGAUGAUAAAUUAUUUGCUAUUGCUGGAGCGUUAUGAAGAAUUAAGGUCUUCGAAUUUUCAUCGAUAAAUUCAUGUGUCACAUGCUCUGAUCAAUUUUAAGAAUUUUGAAUUAUCACGAAGUUGUUUCAUUUUUGGGAUAUAGAUGAAGCUUGUAGGAGAGGGUCUCCUUUUCUUUCCUAUUCCUGUUCCUUUUAAGUACACUUUUUGUCUUAAAAUUUUAUAUAUUUUUUUUAAAUUGUGCUAAAUAACAUAGUGUACACAUAAUAAUUUAUACGUUUUACUUACAUUUGAGUGUUGAUAGGGGAGGGGAGAAGGAAAUACACCCUACUUAGUUACUAAAUUUAACAAUUAGUAAUAGCAGAGGGUAGCUUGUCGAGACUGUUAUGAUACGUACACUUUUGUACCUCAUAUUGAUGUCCUACUGAAUGUGUUGAAUAUCUCAAAUAAUUAUUUUUUUUCUCUUUCUAGACACUCAAAUAAUUAUUUUUGUUUUCUUUUUACUAGACAAAGUGUCCUUUAUUAAUAAAUAAAUUAAAUUCCUCAACAGGAAUAAGUACAAGGGAAUCUAGGUCUUACCUUACCAAUCCUAAUAAGUACUUUGGUUUCUUUAAUUAGUUACAUGAUUGAAGAAAAUUUGGUCUUGAUUAUCUACAAGGAGUUUAAAUCAUGUCCUAUCAUCAAAUCUGUAUUGAUUUAGGAUGGAUAUUACUAAUACAAUGUUACUAAUACAUAGUUUUAGCUGAGGCACUUACGAUUAAAGUUUUGAUUGCCUCAAUCAAAUUUUUAAUGUAGAGAUGAGUCACUUGAUUGUUGUACAGGGACUCUUAAGCAUCGUUGAUGUAGCUAUACUUAUUUAGAGUCAUUUAGAUGAGCCUCAAUUGUGAAAAAUAAGUUGUGUUAAUGACCUAAUUGUAUUCCAUAUCUUUAAUUACUCUACAUAGUCCAUACUCCCUACCUUGAAAAUAAAGCAAAGGCCAAAGUCUUCUCAUUUACUUCUACGGAGGCAAGUUCUAUUGAAUGCUUUUAGCCGAUGCAUCUACACUUUAAACCAUUAUCUCCAUGAAAAAAGUGAUAAAUUUCUUUUAUCAUGUAUUCUAGCCAUUUUCAAAUAUCCUUAAUUUUGGUUGAUCGGAAUAAUUUCUAAGAUAAGAGUAUUUAAUAUAUAUAUACAUAUAUUUUAAAAUUACUUUGAAGCAUUAUUUCUAAGCCGAGGAUUUUUCAGAAACAACCUCUGAUCUCUACUUGGUAGUUUGUAAAUCCUUCAUAUGCUCUACCACAGCUAAACUCCACUUAUAAAAGUAUACUAAGAAUAUUUAUUGUUGUAUCAGUGGUUUUACACUUCUAUGGAUUUGUAUUAGCAAUGGGUUUGCACUAGCAAGCACAUGAUUUUAAAUAGAAGAUUAUAGAAUACUCAAAUUUGAGAUCAUAUUAUUCCUUGAUGGUAUAAAUUU